UUGACGUCUCGUCGUGCGCGGACAAACCGCUACAGUAACAAUCUGUUUGAGCUGCAGUUUGCGAGUCUGCUUAAGUUCACAGCGCAGCCCUACUCAUUAGGAAAUACCUCCCCGGGACGGGUGUGUGUGUGUGUGUAGGUCAGAGAUGACUGAGGCAGAGACUUACUGCAAAGCUCCUGCUGAUUCACGGCUGAAGUGCUGGCUGUGGGCCCACAGACAAACUCCACCUCCCUGGGAUUACUGUCAAGAGAAUGGGCCUUCUGCCGUGUGGAGCCAGCGCCUCCUGGUGGUAGGCUUUGUUCUCCUCGUCCUGACUGCCAUGAUAAUGCUGCUUCUUUGGAAUUACCAUUGCAUCGUCAUCACACACAUCUGCCAAGACCAGGAGGGGAGCUCUGCAUACCCUUUGUGGAAGGACAAGGAGAUCUCAGACUGAAGGCACGUCCAUUGAACCAGAUGACUAGAAGAAAACAUUGCCCAUCACACCACAGAAAUCUCAACCCAAUAAAUGAAUCAAUGCAGCAGUUGUCACAAAAAAGCUGGAUCCCCAGGUAUACAUUUUAAACAGCAAGUGAUUAAUAUUUGAAGUGCCAGCAGAAGAACCAAAUGUAGAGUGGGACAGUCUUCUUCUGGUUGCGCAGUGGACAUGAUUAAAGUACAUGGCCAAUCUGUGUCCGUAUGGUUGACAGUAUUGUUGUAAUUUGAUUUGUGUGGGCACUGCGACUAGGCCAGUAACAGCCUGGAUGGCUGUCUCUUUCUGCUGUAUUGCCAACUUCUUUGAUGGAUGGGUACCAGCCUCAUACCAUAUCAUGAUAUCACAGCCAUCAACAGCCAAAGGUAAAAUACAGGCAUUAUUUUUCAAUAAGAGUAAGAUUAGAUUAGAUUCAACAUUAUUGUCAUUGAACAGUACAACUACAGUACAAAGAAAUGCAGUUAGCAUCUAACCAAAAGUGCAAAUGGAAGAGGACAGAAAUGUAAAAGUGUUUACAAGUAUUAAGUAUAAUGUAUGUGCAAUGAUGUGCAAUGAUGGCAAAUGCAAGUACAAAUGGCAAUUCUAAAUGAGCAGGAUAUUGUUUUAUCCAUGGGGAUUGUCAGUUGGAUUUAAUUACUUUUACACAAUUAACAUUGUAAUGGCUUAUUAUGAUUUGCAUAAUUAACAUUUCCAUUUAUACUGUACUGUAAAUCCAUGCCUAAAAUACACCAACUGAUAGAAAUGGCACAUGUAUAAUUGCAAUUAAGUAGGUUAAUUAGGGACAAUGACUGUCACACAGCAGUUCAUCCAGUUGUAGGGUAUAUAUGACAAAGGAAGCAUACAAUUUCACACAGGAUUAAACAAAAUAUAUAGAAUGUGACCAUUAAUACCCUGUUAAAGUCAGGGUGUGACUUUAAACCCCUUUUAAUCACAUUACUGUUACUAUGUUUUGCACAAAUAUUGGACAAGAAAUAGAACAUAGAAGAUUACAAACUAUUUACAUUUGCAUGUGUAAUAAAAACCUGAAGAUUCA